AAUAACUUACAGAUCAAUGUAUCUGAACUUCAGACAUUGCAGUCUGAGCAUGAUACUCUGCUGGAGGGACACAACAGGAUGCUGCAGGAAACAUUGUCCAAAGAAGCAGAACUGCGAGAAAAGUUAUGUUCAGUACAAUCUGAGAACCUGAUGCUGAAGUCUGAACAUGCCCAGACAGUAAGUCAGCUCACAUCCCAGAAUGAGGUCCUCCGCAACAGCUUCCGAGAUCAAGUGUGACAUUUGCAAGAGGAGCACAGAAAGACAAUGGAAACUUUACAGCAGCAGCUCUCUAAGGUGAAAGCUCAACUCUUCCAACUCAAGAGAGAAUCAACCACAAGAAGCCCAGCUUCUUCCCACCAACCUUUGAAGAACCUUCGAGAAAGGAGGAACCCAGACUUACCCCUUCUAGAUGUGCACACUGUAACCCAGGAGGACGGAGAAGGAAUGGAAACAAUUGAUACUGAGUCCGCAUCUUGUGCCAGCACACACACACAGUCUUUAGAAGAACUUCUUAAUUCUCCUGAAACUAAACUUGGUACGUUACUCAGUCUAAAUAUUUCUUUUAUUUAAUUUCACUGUCUUGUGGAAUUAAUAUUACUCUAAUUUGUAUGUGCCUUUUGAGCCACUUUCCAAUAAAAUACUUUCAAUAUUCUAACACCUAUUCAAGUGAAAAUUCCUGCAGUAUGAAAUAGAUCUCUUUUUAAAAUAAAAUGCUAGUUCUACCCUACACUUGAGCCAGAAAUAUAUGGUUGAAAGUCCUAUAAUGGCAUUAGCAAAUAAAGUAGCCUCUCACUCUUUUAAGAUACUGGUAAUUUCUGUUUUUCUUUUCUUUGAAGUAGUGCUAAAUUUGCUGUGGUAAAUGUAGUUCUGGUAUAUUUUGUUCUUAUCUGUAAUGAAUGUUACUUUGUAUAAUUGAGGGGGAAAUAUCAUCUUUCUGAAGUUUGGGACCACCUGGAAUAAGAGCCAUUUGUAUCCAUGGUCAUCGACCAUAUGGGUGAAAAGUAACAACAUCUUGAACAACAACUCUUAGAACCUCCUUUAUGGCAUGCUGAAUUCACCAAAGAAGAAUUGGUUCAGAAGCUCAGCUCCAUCACAAAAAGCGCAGAUCAUUUAAAUGACCUGCUUUGGGAAACAGAAGCAACCAAUGCCAUUCUUAUGGAGCAAAUCAAGCUCCUCAAAAGUGAAAUAAGAAGAUUGGAAAGAAAUCAAGAGGGAGAGAAGUCUUUUGCUAACCUGGAGUACUUGAAGAAUGUCUUGUUAACAGUUCAUUUUCCUGAAACCAGCUAGUGAAAGAGAGAGACUUCCUCCUGUUAUAGAUACAAUGUUGCAACUCAGCCCAGAAGAAAAGGGAAAACUUGCUACCAUUGCUCAAGGUGAGGAAGAAAAUGCUUCCCAUUCUUCUGGAUGGGCAUCGUGUCUGCAUAGUUGGCCUGGACUUCGAUAGAUGGAUGGAAAGAAAAUUCUUCAUUAACCAAAUAGAGUCCAUUUUGAAAAAAAUUGGUUCAUUUAUAUUACUGUUAUUUUUCUGUUAAAAAGUAUUUACAUAUGUUUGCACCCUCCUUUGUCUGUAUAUAUAUAUUAUAUAACAGAUGUAUUUAAAGAGUCUCAGCUUGGAGUAAAAGUAGAACAACUUGAAGUGUUAAUGCCAGUUCACAGCCUUGCAGCUCAACACCACAGACACUGCAGUUUCUGUGAUCUGCCUUGCAUGACACCGAAUGAAAACAAAGGACUAAGUCACUCUCCUCUCUCAAGUCUCAGGACCCGCCCAUUUCUAGGCAGUACUGUGAAUUGUGAAGUUAAACUAAAUUUGGGUACCAUAUCAACUGAAAUAUAAGCUCAUAAAAUAAUUUUUCAAGACUGUUGCAAGAUCAGACUUGCCGAUAAGUUGUUAUUAAUAAGUUGCUGAGAAAAAUUGGCAAUUAGAAUAUGAAGGAAAAUGCUUUAUUGUUAAAGUUGAUUUUUGUUAAGGGACUUUGAAGUAAAUAUUCUUCAGUUAAUUAUGAGGUUAAGUUAAAUUGCAGUUUAGUUGUUUGCUUAAAGAUUAACUGUUCUUUUUUUCUUCAAAGUGUAUUAUCUCAACACUUGUUAUGUGGUCAGAAGUGCUGGUUUACUGGCUGGUAUACCACCAUGAAUACAUGGGACCACCACCUUAGCUGGGGUUGAUUUGGUGAUAUCUCUAGGUUCUUGUUAUGGUACCACUAUUUACAAGUCAGGAGUCUGAGAAUUCUCCAUCUCCCCAAAUAAGAACUUCUAAGAACAGCAACUCUAUUUCUUGGAAUUGAAACUGGUGCUUCUGGUGCCUGACAGACAGUGUUGUUCCCUCAGCAUUCCACCCAAUGGGAUUUUAGAAAGACACCUGUACCUCAGUGCUGUAUUUUCACAGUUCUGGUAAAUAACCCUAGAUGCUAGUGUUACUUACUUUUGAUGUCUCUGAAUAUAUUUUAUUGACUAGAUCAAAAUUGUGUUCUUAAUUCAAAAUUUGAGAAUUCUAUUUUUAAUAUUUAUUUGUUAAUAAGUCACUACACAGUAUGCUCUCAAUUUAUAUUCUUAAUGUUUAGGCUCAACUAGAGAACUGACUUUGUACUUCAAUUACCGGGAACACUGGUUUCCAACUUAGGUUAACUGAAUUUGCUGCUGACAUGUCAAGUUUGUUCUUUAAAAACCAUUUCUUCUUUCUGUCUUUCCUCCCAUCUUAGAAGUACAGACCUAACUGGUGAAUGUAUUAAAGAAAAUGUAUCUAUUUCAGAGUUGACUUUAAAAGUUUAACUUUUUUCACUUUAUAAAACUGUGAAUAUGAGUGUGCCAGCAGCAUACAGUAUAACUAUAACACUUAAAUAAAUUUUACUUUCUCUUUGAGCAUAGGCCUUUUGAAAUCCAUCUAAAGUUGUCUUAAAAUAUCACCUAUACUAAAUGAUUAUAACAAAAACAACUUUUUGCAUGAUAUAAAAUUACUUUGAUUAUAAAAGGCAUAUUUGGCUUCA